rnacentral:rRNA from 1 species
UGAGGAAUACAUCGUGAAUCUAGUUUUUCGUGGGGGAUAACGUAGGGAAACUUACGCUAAUACCGCAUACGACCUACGGGUGAAAGCAGGGGAUCUUCGGACCUUGCGCGAUUGAAUGAGCCGAUGUCGGAUUAGCUAGUUGGCGGGGUAAAGGCCCACCAAGGCGACGAUCCGUAGCUGGUCUGAGAGGAUGAUCAGCCACACUGGAACUGAGACACGGUCCAGACUCCUACGGGAGGCAGCAGUGGGGAAUAUUGGACAAUGGGCGCAAGCCUGAUCCAGCCAUACCGCGUGGGUGAAGAAGGCCUUCGGGUUGUAAAGCCCUUUUGUUGGGAAAGAAAUCCAGCCGGCUAAUACCUGGUUGGGAUGACGGUACCCAAAGAAUAAGCACCGGCUAACUUCGUGCCAGCAGCCGC